rnacentral:rRNA from 1 species
AACGAACGCUGGCGGCAUGCCUAACACAUGCAAGUCGAACGAGACCUUCGGGUCUAGUGGCGCACGGGUGCGUAACGCGUGGGAACCUGCCCUUAGGUUCGGAAUAACUCCCCGAAAGGGGUGCUAAUACCGGAUAAUGUCUUCGGACCAAAGAUUUAUCGCCUUUGGAUGGGCCCGCGUUGGAUUAGCUAGUUGGUAGGGUAAGAGCCUACCAAGGCGACGAUCCAUAGCUGGUCUGAGAGGAUGAUCAGCCACACUGGGACUGAGACACGGCCCAGACUCCUACGGGAGGGAGGAGUGGGGAAUAUUGGACAAUGGGCGAAAGCCUGAUCCAGCAAUGCCGCGUGAGUGAUGAAGUCCUUAGGGUUGUAAAGCUCUUUUACCCGGGAUGAUAAUGACAGUACCGGGAGAAUAAGCACCGGCUAACUCCGUG